CGACCGGCGCACGGGUGAGUAACGCGUAUCCAACCUGCCCACCACUUGGGGAUAACCUUGCGAAAGUAAGACUAGUACCCAAUGAUAUCUCUAGAAGACAUCUGAAAGAGAUUAAAGAUUUAUCGGUGAUGGAUGGGGAUGCGUCUGAUUAGCUUGUUGGCGGGGUAACGGCCCACCAAGGCGACGAUCAGUAGGGGUUCUGAGAGGAAGGUCCCCCACAUUGGAACUGAGACACGGUCCAA
rnacentral:rRNA from 1 species